rnacentral:tRNA from 1 species
GUGGGUGUAGCUCAGCGGUUUAGAGCGUCCCCCUGUGAAGGGGAAGGCCGGGGGUUCAAGUCCCCUCACCCACC